UGCAGGCGGAGCGGGAAGGCGCAGCAGACGGAAGGCAGGAGGCUGGAGUAUAAAGCCGCGGAGUCGAGGCCGGCUCAGUCCGUCCCCGCUCAGCUGCUGGCAGGGCUGAGGCGCCGAGCCAUGGCCGAGCUGCCGCGCAAGCGACAGAGUUGGUCCAAGACUGGAUUCUCCAAACAGCUGCAGUCUCACUUAUGGAAAAAGAAGCUAGCAACAUUACAUGUCUUGUGAUGAGAAAACGGUAACAUUUUGCUGUAGAACACAUCUUGACACUUUUUUGAAAGAUGACUAUCUGUGAAAACUCACUAGUGGUCAUGACAAGGCUUUCUGCUUGCCACCCC